rnacentral:rRNA from 1 species
UAUUGAGUUUGAUCGUGGCUCAGGACGAACGCUGGCGGCGUGCCUAAUACAUGCAAGUCGAACGCUUUUUCUUUCACCGGAGCUUGCUCCACCGAAAGAAAAAGAGUGGCGAACGGGUGAGUAACACGUGGGUAACCUGCCCAUCAGAAGGGGAUAACACUUGGAAACAGGUGCUAAUACCGUAUAACACUAUUUUCCGCAUGGAAGAAAGUUGAAAGGCGCUUUUGCGUCACUGAUGGAUGGACCCGCGGUGCAUUAGCUAGUUGGUGAGGUAACGGCUCACCAAGGCAACGAUGCAUAGCCGACCUGAGAGGGUGAUCGGCCACACUGGGACUGAGACACGGCCCAGACUCCUACGGGAGGCAGCAGUAGGGAAUCUUCGGCAAUGGACGAAAGUCUGACCGAGCAACGCCGCGUGAGUGAAGAAGGUUUUCGGAUCGUAAGAACUCUGUUGUUAGAGAAGAACAAGGAUGAGAGUAAAAUGUUCAUCCCUUGACGGUAUCUAACCAGAAAGCCACGGCUAACUACGUGCCAGCCGCCGCCGUAACACAAAAA